CCCGGUGCCCUGCCUUCUGGCUUACUCUUACUGUUCCUUCUGGCACAACAGCUUCCUACUUUUCCAGUCCAGAAAGGAUCCAUUUGGGGGCUCUGUUCUGACCUUUAGCACAAGGAGAAAAAUUCCAAAACGUAAAGGGGGAAAUACCCAUGUUUCCUCUGGCAAGUUUACCUGGGUUCAAGUCAGUGAUGUUUCCCCCAGAAAAGUAGCUCAAGCAUCACAAAAAGGCUAGGAGCCUUGCAUCCAGAGCCGAAUACGGGCUGUUUGGUUUUCUCGCAUGAAUGAAUUUGCUUUCAGCUGAAGAUUUACUUUUAACAAAUAAGCUGUUUUACAGGAUGCAAAGGUGGAAGGGGUGGAGUGUCUUAUGACUUACUACAGUGUGGGUGCAGCCACUGACAUGAUUUCUGGAUCCUCAUGUGUCUGCCUUGCUUGUUUGGACAAGGUUGUGUGAGGUGGGAGAUCUGAGAGAUGAGAAGGUGGAUACAAUCAUCUUUGAUUCUUCACACAGCUACUGUAGUUUCUACAGGGUACUACUGGGAUCAUAAAAAUGACAAUUAGAAAUGUUGAUCUGAACACCAGCCCUGUCCAGUUUGAGAGAAAAACACAGAUCCUUUAAAAGUAGUUCGUGGGUGCUGAUGAGAACCAGUAGUCUGUGUUCACAAACAUCCAUGAAAGGAAAUGGGAGUGAACAGUUGUGCUCUGUACAGUGAUAUUCGUUCAUCAGAAGGUGACUUCUACUCAGUUUUUUCUUCUGUUUUUAAAAGUAGCCAUUACUGGACCUUAUCUUCUCACUCUCAACUUUUGAAGUUGACAGCUGUAAGUUAGAUGUAAACAGUAUGUCUUACCAGAAAAAUCCUGAGUAGCCUGGGUUGAUGCAUGUUGUAGGUCUCUGCUUCUGGCAGAGAAAGUGCGUCUGCUGUAGGUGCAACCAAGGAGAUCCAACAGCAAACAAGGAAAGAGAGAGGUGGAUCUGCUUCCCUUUAAAUCAAGGUUCUUCAUUGCUACAGGAAAAUAAUUGGUGUUUUAUGCCUUGUGAUCCUUUUUGUGUUCUUAUUAAAAAUACACCAACGUCUGACUUCUUUACAAAGUUUUAUAUUAUGACACACUUGGAUUUAAGGAAUCCUUUUGGAUUCUCUGAACACAGUACAGAACUGCUGUUGAUCUCUCUGUCCUCACUAAUACCGAGUCGCAUAUCAUUUAUUUGUUUGGUAUGUGUAGAUUGCAUGACAGUGUUAAUGCU